GUCUACAGCCAUACCACCUGAAUACGCCUGAUCUCAUCUGAUCUCAGAAGCUAUGCAGUGUUGGACCUGGUUAUUACCUGGACAGGAGAAAAUGGGUCACAGUUUUCU
rnacentral:rRNA from 1 species